rnacentral:rRNA from 1 species
AUUGAACGCUGGCGGCAGGCCUAACACAUGCAAGUCGAGCGGCAGCGGAAAGUAGCUUGCUACUUUGCCGGCGAGCGGCGGACGGGUGAGUAAUGUCUGGGAAACUGCCUGAUGGAGGGGGAUAACUACUGGAAACGGUAGCUAAUACCGCAUAACGUCGCAAGACCAAAGAGGGGGACCUUCGGGCCUCUUGCCAUCAGACGUGCCCAGAUGGGAUUAGCUAGUAGGUGGGGUAACGGCUCACCUAGGCGACGAUCCCUAGCUGGUCUGAGAGGAUGACCAGCCACACUGGAAUUGAGACACGGUCCAGACUCCUACGGGAGGCAGCAGUGGGGAAUAUUGCACAAUGGGCGCAAGCCUGAUGCAGCCAUGCCGCGUGUAUGAAGAAGGCCUUCGGGUUGUAAAGUACUUUCAGCGGGGAGGAAGGUGUUGAGGUUAAUAACCUCAGCAAUUGACGUUACCCGCAGAAGAAGCACCGGCUAACUCCGUGCCAGCCGCCGCCGUAACAC